UUUACCGUUUCUUAGAUUCAUGAUUACGAAUUGGGAACUAUGUUGUUUCAGAUCCUCGAAAUAGUGGGGACUUCGUCAAGAACCGCAAUAAUGUGAGAAAAACUUCAAAUGGCAAUCAAAACCCUACAAGGUGUAACCAACAAACCACUCGAGAGGUUAAUGUGCUUUCUAAGGAAAAUAAGACUCAAAUGAAGGAACAAGUUGUGAAGCCAAAUAAUAAGCCAUCCUCAAACACAAAUUCUGGGCUCUUGAGGGCACAGAAGCUAAGCACAGAACAGAAGGACAACCAUGAGAAGUUCCAGCGCAAAUUGGAAAAACCUACAAUCCCAAAGAGGAAUCAGCAAGAUGUAAGUACAGGAAUAUCCAGAUCGUAACUUGUAAAGUAAUUUGGUUUGACAUGUGCACUUUUACCUGAUUUGUUUGAUUUAUGUUUACCAGAACUUCAAGUGCUCAGAUGAGGUCGCAGUUCAAGUGAAACUAGAAGCUACAAAAAGGAAACUCCAAGAGAGUUACCAACAAGCUGAAAACGGUAUUUGUUUAGUUUUCCAUCCGUG
rnacentral:lncRNA from 1 species